CCUCUAGAGAUAAUAUCAGAGCAGAUGAGUCUCUCCCUCAAUCUCUGUUUCUACUACUUUUCUUUUCCAUGAAACCUCUAGAAAAUCCUCAUUAUCCCUUCUAAAACUAAACAUCUUCCACAGAACAGAAGUAUGAGGUGAAGGAAAAUGAGCCUUUUCCUUGGAUGAUUUCUCUAGUAGGUGAGACAUUUCUUGCGGUGAUGACAUUAUUGUGGACAAGAAGUUUUUGAUUGGGGCUCUUCACCCUAAUUUGACGACAAACCCUUGGCUGUCUGAGCUCUUCUAGUCUCUUAAUCUUUGUUUUUCAAUUUAAAGGUUUAAUUGAUAGUCUACAGUGUAUUGAUAGUCUAUGAUUUACUUAUUCUCUUCAUCUUAUACAUCUUAUACGACACCCUUUGUCCGAGUACCGGUAGUCUCUGUUCUUCAAUAUGUAGGUUUCUGUGUUUUCAAUGAUGGUCACAGAGUAAUUGGUUCAAGUGAUUAAGGUUAAUUAGUUGAUAAAACUGUACCCAUUACCAAUUCGGGAAGAUUGACAUUGGUUCUUCUUGAGAUAUUGGCUUGGGUUGCUAUAUCUAACAUGUGGCCAUUCUGAUUCAUGAGUUUUCAGUAUCAUGUUAUCCGGGAAACUCCACACACAUCCGUGAACUUGAUAGCCCUUAUUUUUUUCAUUGAAGUCGUUCCCUAAGAUGCUUGUUGAUGCGGGUGCAGCUUGCUGUGGGAUUGAGGUUGUUUAACCUGGAUAUUUUUCACAUGUGUAACAUUUUGUGUCCUGCUUCGAAUUAUGUAAUGUAGCUCUGAGUGAAAAUCUGAACCUUAGAAAUAUUUUUUUUUCACCUGGGUAACAUUUUAUGUCACUUGUAAACAUUGUACGGUUACAAAUAAAAUAUUGUAAAAAUUAUAGUGUAUUUCGCCGAGAAAUAA